UCAGAUUCAUCACUAAACCGAGGUCGUAUCAUUUGGUAUCAGAGCUUGUUAAAAUGAGAAGUACGAGCACUCGAAGUCAUUCCAAAAUAGGUACGUAAAAAAGUUUGAAAAAAAGUUUUCGAAAUUAAAAAUAUAUAUACAUACGAAAUUUUAAAAAAAAGUGAAUUGAAAAAAAAUCGUGAAUUAAAAAAAAUGAUGUUGCGAUUCAAGUGCUGCAAAUUGAG
rnacentral:lncRNA from 1 species